rnacentral:lncRNA from 7 species
AGAUUUGCUCACUCCUACAUCCUCUGCAUUUAGCAAUCUGCCAGGGAGCAGGUGCAGCAUCUGACAAAUGCCUUGCUGCAGUUUCCGCCUCCUCUGCAUCCCUUCAGCUUCUGUUUUUUAGUGGAUUGAUAUAUGGGAUGUGAGCAUUGCAGAUGGAGGGCUGUGAGGCUGAGGCAUCUACACUGCUUUACAACCAGCAUUACAGCACAAGAGUGGUCUUACAGCAGUGAUACAUCCUGAAUCUGAGCUGUGUGAUGAAGCGAGGCCGCACGGCAGUCAUCACCCAUUCCUACAGCAGGCUUCCAAAUACAAACUGAAAAUAUAGCAUCAGGACAGUGGUUUCACCCAAGUCAGGUUCACAAGUCUAUCCACCAUCUGGAGCAAUUACAAGGUGGCUGGAAAGCCAUGGAAAUACUGUUCCCAAAGAAAGGACGUCCACUAGUGGAGGCACGGGUCCAUCCCAGAACCCUCACUCAUACCUCCAGGACAGUGAUGUGCUUCUCCACUAAGAUGCAGAAUGGAAGGGUCUGAGGACCUGAUGUUAACAUUUUUAGACAGCCUCCAGGCCAACACAGAGGGCAUCAUCGCAAGGUGCUGGGAGGCACCAACCCACUGGUGAGCAACUUCAGCCGUCUGCUGGGAAAGAACCGGUCCUGUCUGCACACACUGUGCUGCUCUCUGAAGGUUCCUGGUUCCUUUUGUCCCCAGAAGCAACAAUUAAUCCAAAGAAAGGAUGGAUUAAAUAACCCACAUGCUUCGGAACCCACAGUUCCCAGUUGUGAUGGUUUCCAGUGUCCGACUUGGAUAAUUGAUCAGAGCUAAACAGUGAGAAGAAAAGAACUCCAGUAGAAAUGAGAUCACUUCCUUCAAAAGCAAUGACAGAAAACAGAAAGCCUCUAUUGCUGAACUGAGAGUAAAGAUUUGCUGGGUUGAAGGCAACAGCUGACUCAUGAAUCCUUAUUCCUUCUUAAUCCAUAGAAACUGCUGGCCAGUGUGGUACCCAGAAAUAUGUGCUGUAGUUGGUGUGGUAGGUGAUGGGUGCUUUGGUACUCACCAAAGAGUUUGCAUCCUUGUCUUCAAGCCAGUAGAGCUGGUCAGACCAAUUGGAGUGCUCUAGGAGAGCAUCCUGAGCUGGGAGCACAAUGUGCAGUGUUGGGCUGUCAGACACAUCUCCUGCCAAAGCAUGAAAAUAUCAGUGCUUUGAUGGCUUGAAAGUAGAGGACCAAAGAGGAUGCCCUGCUGUGUAUCCCUACACUGUACACUCUACUUUGUCUAUUAUCUGCCACUUUCCCCUGUGUCUUUUUAUGAGACAGCCUCAACUGAAGAUUUAAUAGACCUGCUUGGUUUGUUGGAAGGCACCUUGUGGCAAGAAAUGAAUAAUCUACUUUGACUGGAAUUAAAUUUGAUUUGAGCCUAGUUUGCAAUAAAAACCUGGUUUGAUG